rnacentral:rRNA from 1 species
AUUGAACGCUGGCGGCAUGCCUUACACAUGCAAGUCGAACGGUAACAGGUCUUCGGAUGCUGACGAGUGGCGAACGGGUGAGUAAUACAUCGGAACGUGCCUAGUAGUGGGGGAUAACUACUCGAAAGAGUGGCUAAUACCGCAUGAGAUCUACGGAUGAAAGCAGGGGAUCGCAAGACCUUGUGCUACUAGAGCGGCCGAUGGCAGAUGAGGUAGUGGGUGGGAUAAAAGCUUACCAAGCCGACGAUCUGUAGCUGGUCUGAGAGGACGAUCAGCCACACUGGGACUGAGACACGGCCCAGACUCCUACGGGAGGCAGCAGUGGGGAAUUUUGGACAAUGGGCGCAAGCCUGAUCCAGCAAUGCCGCGUGCAGGAUGAAGGCCUUCGGGUUGUAAACUGCUUUUGUACGGAACGAAAAGCCCCGGGUUAAUACCCUGAGGUCAUGACGGUGCCGUAAGAAUAAGCACCGGCUAACUACGUGCCAGCCGCCGCCGUAA